GGAGGCAGGAGGUCUUCACCAGACGGUGCUGCGUCGCAAGGGGAUUAGAGAAAAUGGCCAAUCUGGGCUUCUAAACCAAUGGUCGACACUGCACCUCCUCCACUGGUUCUGCCCUUACGCAGCACCGCAUUAUUUCGUCUCCUCAGUCUUGCUACCGGCCACAAAAACCGUCUAUCUUCGUCUCUCGCUAAUCAGUGCCUUCGGCUAACCGUAACGUCCAUCACCUGCCACGCGACCUCAAAUUGUCCAAUGCCCCAAUACGGUCUGAUCUCGAAGAAGGCGGUGGCAGCGACUUGGAUCCCAAUGUAAGGAAGAGCCGAAACCAGAUAAAGCGUGAGGCUCGGCUCGCCGUCCGUCGGAGCAUUGAACUCCUAUCCUUUUUUACUCCUCGAAUCAAACGUACACUCAGGUGCCCCCGCCAAUAUUCCCUUGCUGCGAAAACAGCCCUGUAUACAUUAUUUUCUUACGAAUUACGAAUUCAAUUGAGCUCAAAUUGACGUUGAUAAAUACCGAGUAGCUUCCCUUGUCGAAGAGGCGUUCGAAGCUCUAAUGCCAGUGAAGGUGCUUCUGUAGUUGUAGACUUGUUUUCUGUGAUAAACUACGACAGGAUGUGCAGCGUGAAUUAUGGAUGGAUGGCUUGAUUCAGGACAAAAGAUGGUGUCCAGAGGAGGCUGCAGGCUUUGUCCGUUUCAAUGGUUAGGGGAGAGGAUGAUCAUGAAGAAGCAGAAGAAAGGAUCUGAUCAUAAAGACAUUAACAUAACAACCAGAUGGUUUGAAGGUCUGUUCGAUAAGGACAUUACAAUCAACGACGAAGUUUAUUCAGUUCAGAGUGUUGAAUUUAGAGUAAUGCUACACAUACAGUCGUGGAGUCUGUAAGCACCGCGCAAUCCUUUUAAAAAAGAGU